rnacentral:rRNA from 1 species
CGCUGGCGGCAUGCUUAACACAUGCAAGUCGCACGAAGGUUUCGGCCUUAGUGGCGGACGGGUGAGUAACGCGUAGGAAUCUAUCCAUGGGUGGGGGAUAACACUGGGAAACUGGUGCUAAUACCGCAUGAUACCUGAGGGUCAAAGGCGCAAGUCGCCUGUGGAGGAGCCUGCGUUCGAUUAGCUAGUUGGUGGGGUAAAGGCCUACCAAGGCGAUGAUCGAUAGCUGGUUUGAGAGGAUGAUCAGCCACACUGGGACUGAGACACGGCCCCUACUCCUACGGGAGGCAGCAGUGGGGAAUAUUGGACAAUGGGGGCAACCCUGAUCCAGCAAUGCCGCGUGUGUGAAGAAGGUCUUCGGAUUGUAAAGCACUUUCGACGGGGACGAUGAUGACGGUACCCGUAGAAGAAGCCCCCGGCUAACUUCGUGCCAGCAGCCGCGGUAAUACGAAGGGGGCUAGCGUUGCUCGGAAUGACUGGGCGUAAAGGGCGUGUAGGCGGUUUUGACAGUCAGAUGUGAAAUCCCCGGGCUUAACCUGGGAGCUGCAUUUGAGACGUUAAGACUAGAGUGUGAGARAAGGUUGUGGAAUUCCCAGUGUAGAAGGUGAAAUUCGUAGAUAUUGGGAAGAACACCGGUGGA